AUUAAACGCUGGCGGCAUGCCUUACACAUGCAAGUCGAACGGUAGCGCGGGGCAACCUGGCGACGAGUGGCGAACGGGUGAGUAAAGCAUCGGAACGUGCCCUGGAAUGGGGGAUAACGUAGCGAAAGUUACGCUAAUACCGCAUAUUCUGUGAGCAGGAAAGCAGGGGAUCGCAAGACCUUGCGUUCUGGGAGCGGCCGAUGUCGGAUUAGCUAGUUGGUGGGGUAAAAGCCUACCAAGGCGACGAUCCGUAGCGGGUCUGAGAGGAUGAUCCGCCACACUGGAACUGAGACACGGUCCAGACUCCUACGGGAGGCAGCAGUGGGGAAUUUUGGACAAUGGGCGCAAGCCUGAUCCAGCCAUGCCGCGUGAGUGAAGAAGGCCU
rnacentral:rRNA from 1 species